GAUGAACGCUCGCUACAGGCUUAACACAUGCAAGUCGAGCGAAGUUUUUCUGGUGCUUGCACUAGAAAAACUUAGCGGCGAACGGGUGAGUAACACGUAAAGAACCUGCCUCAUAGACUGGGACAACUAUUGGAAACGAUAGCUAAUACCGGAUAACAGUAUUUCUCGCAUGAGAGAUAUUUAAAAGUUGGUUAUGCUAACACUAUGAGAUGGCUUUGCGGUGCAUUAGCUAGUUGGUGGGGUAAAGGCCCACCAAGGCGACGAUGCAUAGCCGACCUGAGAGGGUGAUCGGCCACACUGGGACUGAGACACGGCCCAGACUCCUACGGGAGGCAGCAGUAGGGAAUCUUCCGCAAUGGGCGAAAGCCUGACGGAGCAACGCCGCGUGAGUGAAGAAGGAUUUCGGUUCGUAAAGCUCUGUUGUUAGGGAAGAAUGGAUAUGUAGUAACUAUACAUGUAAGAGACGGUACCUAACCAGAAAGCCACGGCUAACUACGUG
rnacentral:rRNA from 1 species